AAAUGCGAUACGUAGUGUGCAUUGCAGAAUUCCGUGAACCAUCGAAUCUUUGAACGCAUAUUGCGCUCGAGCCCUCGGGCAAGAGCAUGUCUGCCUCAGCGUCGGUUUACACCCUCACCCCUCCCACUUUUGUUGGGUGUGUUGGCUUCUAUGCCAGCCAUAGGGGUGGAUCUGGCUUCCCCAAUUCGCUGUAGUGGAUUGGGUUGGCUGAAGUAUAGAGGCUUAAGCAAGGACCCGAUAUGGGCUUCAACUGGAUAGGUAGCACCGGCUUUCGCCGACUACACGAAGUUGUUGCUUGUGGAUCUUGCUAGAGGCCAAGCAGGAACGUGCCUUUGGCAUGUCUAAACUUUCGACCUGAGCUCAGGCAAGGCUACCCGCUGAACUUAAGC
rnacentral:misc_RNA from 1 species